CAGUCGUGAGGAAGGUAGUGUAGUUAAUAGCUGCAUUAUUUGACGUUACCUACAGAAGAAGCACCGGCUAACUCCGUGCCAGCAGCCGCGGUAAUACGGAGGGUGCGAGCGUUAAGUCGGAAUUACGUGGGACGUAAAGCCGCAUGCAGGCGGCCUGUUAAGUCAGAUGUAGAAACGGCCCGGGGACUUAACCGUACGGUAAUUGCUAUUUAGAAACGUGGCAGGCUAGAGUCUUGUAGAGGGGGUAGAAUUUCAGGUGUAGCGGUGAAAAUGCGUAGAGAUCUGAAGGAAUACCAGUGGCGAAGGCGGCCCCCUGGACAAAGACUGACGCUCAGAUGCGAAAGCGUGGGGAGCAAACAGGAUUAGAUACCCUGGUAG
rnacentral:rRNA from 1 species